UGGGAAUUUUGGACAAUGGGCGAAAGCCUGAUCCAGCAAUGCCGCGUGUGUGAAGAAGGCCUUCGGGUUGUAAAGCACUUUUGUCCGGAAAGAAAUCCUUGGCUCUAAUACAGUCGGGGGAUGACGGUACCGGAAGAAUAAGCACCGGCUAACUACGUGCCAGCAGCCGCGGUAAUACGUAGGGUGCAAGCGUUAAUCGGAAUUACUGGGCGUAAAGCGUGCGCAGGCGGUUUGCUAAGACCGAUGUGAAAUCCCCGGGCUCAACCUGGGAACUGCAUUGGUGACUGGCAGGCUAGAGUAUGGCAGAGGGGGGUAGAAUUCCACGUGUAGCAGUGAAAUGCGUAGAGAUGUGGAGGAAUACCGAUGGCGAAGGCAGCCCCCUGGGCCAAUACUGACGCUCAUGCACGAAAGCGUGGGGAGCAAACAGGAUUAGAUACCCUGGUAGUCCACGCCCUAAAACGAUGUCAACUAGUUGUUGGGGAUUCAUUUCCUUAGUAACGUAGCUAACGCGUGAAGUUGACCGCCUGGGGAGUACGGUCGCAAGAUUAAAACUCAAAGGAAUUG
rnacentral:rRNA from 1 species